UCACUCACUGGUCCUGGCUCCUAAAUAACUCAGCAGAAACGAGUUUCCAACUAAAAAUCCCCUCGAAUGUCUCCCAGGGAAGAAAUAUAGCUCCUAUAAUUAAAGGAGGCAACGGCCAGAGGGGGAAUGCAGCCGGCAGCCAAAAAAAAAAAAAUUCAGUUUUGAGGAAUUUUCACCCAGAGGAAUCCAAGACAGCAAGCAGCAAUUACUGGGGAGGUAGAUGAUGGGUGGUGCAGAGGCAGUAUAACUAGGUGAACAUUUUGGAAGGACAGUAACAAGGUGACCUGACAGCCUGUGAUAUGCUGGCUUGCUCAAGAGAUGAAAUUAAGCACAUCUAAAGGAAUGGAUGGAGCUGAGGAUAUGGUGAUUAACGAGACAGAUGUGGUCACUGACUUCAAGGAACACACAACAUAAUAGGGAAGUAGACACCAAACAAGUAACUUUACAAAUAAUUGCUGGUUUACAAAUAAAUAAUAUGUGAUGA